UACGUAGGGCGCAAGCGUUAUCCGGAAUUAUUGGGCGUAAAGAGCUCGUAGGCGGUUUGUCGCGUCUGCCGUGAAAGUCCGGGCUCAACUCCGGAUCUGCGGUGGGUACGGGCAGACUAGAGUGAUGUAGGGGAGACUGGAAUUCCUGGUGUAGCGGUGAAAUGCGCAGAUAUCAGGAGGAACACCGAUGGCGAAGGCAGGUCUCUGGGCAUAACUGACGCUGAGGAGCGAAAGCAUGGGGAGCGAAACAGG
rnacentral:rRNA from 1 species